AUCGGCAGGUCGAAGAUUAAUUAAAAAUCAAAGCUGUCUAGCUGUAAUUGAUAUUGUAGUCCCAUUUUAUUCAAGUUAAAACCAAAAUUUGUUAUUGUCGUAUUACGUAGGUUACGACUUAUAGGAAUAGAGGAAAGAGUUAUGCGAAAAGCUUUAAAACUGAGAGACUAGACGGGCAGACGGACAUUUAUAUGGUCACAAAUGUUUCCUGCAUAUUAAACUUCUAACUGAAAUCAAGGGUCCUUUGUGGCAUCACAAUGUUUUUAAUAAUAAUAAAUUUCAAAAUUACAUAAAUGCCCAUAUCUUAUUGCCUAUAAAUAAACGUUGUGCCGGCGUUUUUUCACCAAGUAAUGUAAUGAAUUUAGAUUUAAUUUAAAUCCUUUUUUCUUGACUCCGCAAGAAAUUAGUAAAACAAAUAAGAAAUAGAAACGCGUUAAAGAAAAAAAACCGAAGAAACGUGCCGCACGAAUCGAAAUCGGGACUAAUUCAACUUGAACUUUUUGUAUUUCCCUCCACUUUUUGACCGAACUGAUUUUCCUGUGUUUAUACGUGCCUGUCAAACUCUGAGCAAUCAAUAUGGAAGGAGUAGUGCAGAGAUUGGUUGCCAGGAUAUGGCAGUAAAGCUUCUCGUAUUUGACAUCUUGAGCUGAAAGAGGAGGCUGUUACCGCUGUU
ensembl:ncRNA lncRNA:CR44687 long non-coding RNA:CR44687